UAGCAGUCAUGAAAUCUCUAUUUAAUAGCUUGGAAGAAAUGAAGGAUGGUGCUUGAAGUAUGUGAUAAAUUAUGGCCUUUGGCUCAGCAGACUGAUUCCAGCUGAUUAAGGUGCUUUUGUAUCUGGAUGUAAAACUCCAAGCACUGAAAGCUUCAUAGACUGAAGUCUGGUCCGGAGGGCCCAGUGUGAGUUCUGAUGACUUCAAUGGAAGAACAGUAAUUAACAAAGGAUCAUUCCUAUUCCAUAGAUGUAGAUGGAGUCCUUUGAAAGAGAUUCAGUGCUUUCUGUUAUAUGAAGGGUGUGCAAAGAUGCUAGGGACCUGCAUGGAAGUUGCUUACAAAUGCCUACCAUAUAGAUUACAUGCAUAUUGGUGCAUAGUUUGAACAAGACCAGAGAAAAAUGGACUACCAUACAAAUAAUUCUGGACUUCUACUC